ACCCAGAUUAAAAAACACCAGUUUUCUUUUUCCUCUAACCAGACUAAUUACACAACAAAUUUCAAUAAGUAUUUUUAAAAUAAACAAAAGAAGUAUUCUUUUACACAUAAAGGUAAAUGAUUUAUCCAUCCUCAAAAGCAUAAUCGCCCAUCUCACUUCAAGCCUCUUCAUGAUGAUAAACAAAUUUUGUAUACACCAACAAACAUCUCUAUGUACAGAUGGAAGCAUGUGAAAUAGAAUACCUUCAAGCCACUUGAUCAUCUCCACAAGCAUCAAUUUUUUCCACAGUGCUUGUCAAGGAUAGAAGUUCCAUCAACUCCAUCCGAUACUCGAGGCCUCGAAGAUAGUGUCCCAGAAGCAUACACCAGAAGAGUAGACGCGCCAGAUAAUCCCUUGUUAAAGAAAUGAGGGGCUGGAACUGAAGUGAAGUGUUUUCAACAAGUUCUGCACAAUCUUCACUCCCAAUAUUCCGUGUUCCAGUUGAUGCAUUCUCUGAUUGAGGUGGAACUUUGGAAUGCAUCUUAGGUGAAAGAGUUGCAAGGAGACCAUGGACUACAGAAUGGAUUAUUUCUUUCAAUUCAGGGGAUGUAGGUUCUGACAACUCAGCCACCUUUUCUGGUUGUAGUGAUCUUAAGUAGUCCAGUAAAUCAUUCUUUUCUUCACCAACAAACCGUUGCAUCUGAAGAGCAGCGCUUUUCCUCUUGACUUCAUGCAGUUCCUUUUUAACAGAAGAUAAACGAGACUGCAAAUCAAGAAUAUAUUGCCGAGCUUCAGAGGACAUUUCACCAAGGCCUUCAAUACUAAUAUUAUCAGAUGGAUCUUCAGUUCUUUUUUCAAAUUUGACAUUUUUUCCAUAAUAUUGAUUUGCUUUCGCACUGUCUACCUCUGUUCCUUGCAAAUUAUGUUUAGAGUUUUCUGGCUUUUGGUUUUCAAUAUUUCCUUCAUGCGCAUAGAGGUUUCUUUCAAGGCAA
rnacentral:misc_RNA from 1 species